UAAUACCGCAUAACAUCCUGCCUUUGGAAAGGCGGAGAUCAAAGCAGGGGAUCGCAAGACCUGGCGCUUGGAGAGGGGCCCGCGUCUGAUUAGCUAGUUGGUAGGGUAAUGGCCUACCAAGGCAACGAUCAGUAUCCGGCCUGAGAGGGCGGACGGACACACUGGGACUGAGACACGGCCCAGACUCCUACGGGAGGCAGCAGUGGGGAAUUGUUCGCAAUGGGCGCAAGCCUGACGACGCAACGCCGCGUGGAGGAUGAAGGUCUUCGGAUUGUAAACUCCUGUUGAUCGGGAAGAAUGGACCCCGGGUUAAUAGUCCGGGGUAUUGACGGUACCGAUUGAGGAAGCCACGGCUAACUCUGUGCCAGCAGCCGCGGUAAUACAGAGGUGGCAAGCGUUGUUCGGAAUUA
rnacentral:rRNA from 1 species